UGUCAAGAAACUGAUGUCUACUUGUAAACUGUUGCUUAAAGCAGGCAUGAGAAAAACUGUAAAUACGACUUACUUAACUGCCUAGAUUCAUGAGCAUUAAAGCUUUUAUUGAUAUUCUAUACUGAAACUGAGCGAAAUAUCACAACAAAGAAAAAUACAGGAGUUGAAAUCGCUUUCAAGUUUUUAUCGAUUUCAAACUGUAUGCAAGAUGGGAAGAAAUAAAAUUUAUUUCUAGACAGAUCUGAAAUUGCAUUUUUUUAACUCUUCGGCUGAUUUGAAUUUGAAAUCCUUAAAACUCAGCUGCUCAUGUAGGCCACUGAACUAGGUUCGAAAGGCAGAUAUGAAGAACAUAGGAAUUUAAUAGCAAGAAGGCUUAAAACAUUUAUUGUUUCUUUCCUGAAGCGAAAAGACAACCUUCGGGGUCAGA